CUGGCCUUUCUACCGUAGGUGUCGGGCGGCUGGUGGUGAGUUCCUCUAGGCCGGUCCGCGGGCCGCAAGGGCGAGGGAGCCAGCGCUUUUCUAAUUUCCCGAACGAUGUCCUCGGGGAGCCUAACUGGAGGGCGGCGGGAGGCUGCGUCCACGCGGGCCUCGGGGCGGGCGCCGUGGCCUUGUGUCCGAGUUUGGGGGCCGAGGCCUGAGGACCGCGUGCGCCUUUGUCCGGCCGGGCAGCCGCCGUCUCGGGACCCCUGACCCCGGGCUCGCCGCUGGGAGUGAGCACCCCCCGAGAGAACUAGGAAGUGCCGUCAGAUGCGAGGACUGACGAUUUCUACGCCUAUCCGACCGCAGUCGCUGACACCUGAUGCUUUACGUUACUGUAGCUGCCAGAGUCUGCCCUAAAUGCACGUCCUAAUCCUUGUUUCAGAGGGCAGACACACUCGCUUUUGGAGACGGGAGCAGCACCCCUACCCGACGUUGAGAGCCAGUUUGGGUUGCAAGUCAGUGAAGGGUGGCCAGUGCGUGAUCACCAACAGCUGAGGAUGGGAGCCCAAGCGUUGGCCUGCUCCGAGGUUUUGAGCACUGAGGAGUGGGAUCGGCGCAGCAGAGUUCUAAAGCGGGCGGCAGUGGCAGCAGCACCACAGCCCAAGAAGAGGCUAUGCUGCAGCAGGGGCAGAAUUUGAAGUCCAAAGGACCAGGGGCGGCCAUCAACUUGGACCCUGAAAACCUAGGCUCCCACAUUUGGUGUAGAAACACCCACCUUGUGCUGAUUAUCAGAGGGACAUUCUUACCAAUGAGAGAGCCAAGAAAUGGAUUUGGCAUUUUUCUGGGACCGCGCGGACUGGCACUUAAUGGUGUCAUUAAAUUCAUGAGUUUUCUUGUAUCGUCCCUUAACCAAAAGGAGCUUUUGUACUUUUAAAUAUUGUAUGAAUGUGUUCUUGGGUGAGAGCCUGAGGUUUUUGAACUGGAAACUUCCUUAAAUUUCUAUCUCCAUGCAGUUAACCAUAAACAGUGUAAUAAAAGUGUGGUCUUUGGUA